UUGUGGUAAAAAGCUCGUAGUUGGAUCUCAACAGCCUUGAAGCGGUUAACUUUGUAGUUCUACUGCUUUAUAGGCUGUGCUUUUGCUGGAGGUUUAGGGGUGCUCUUGAUCGAGUGUCUCUGGAUGCCAGCAGGUUUACUUUGAAAAAAUUAGAGUGCUCAAAGCAGGCUAAAAUGCCUGAAUAUUCGUGCAUGGAAUAAUAGAAUAGGAUGUCGAUCCUAUUUUGUUGGUUUUCGGGACUCGACAUAAUGAUAAAUAGGGACAGUCGGGGGCAUUUGUAUUCAAACGACAGAGGUGAAAUUCUUGGACCGUUUGAAGACAAACUACUGCGAAAGCAUUUGCCAAGAAUGUUUUCAUUAAUCAAGAACGAAAGUUAGAGGUUCGAAGGCGAUUAGAUACCGCCCUAGUUCUAACCAUAAACGAUGCCAGCUAGCGAUCUGCCUGCGUUUUUACUGUAGACUGGGCAGGAAGCUUCCGGGAAACCAAAGCAUUUGGGUUCCAGGGGAAGUAUGGUUGCAAAGCUGAAACUUAAAGGAAUUGACGGAAGGGCACCACCAGGAGUGGAGCCUGUGGCUUAAUU
rnacentral:rRNA from 1 species